AAAAAAGUACAUACUUGUGUGGUUUUGGAUUGAUCUUGAUGAUUAUUAUCAUGUCCAAAUUCCCCACUGCAGUGACUGUGUAGGUAGACAAGAAAGCUCAGGAAGAGUGGAAUCAGGAGCUCUGGAUAUUCUGAAAAACCCAGGAGGCAGACAGCUGAUGAUUCUUGCUAAAAAUAACUUAAUGAAGAUACCAAAAAUUUCAUUUUUGCAACUGUCAAGAAAUUGUGGAGGAAGCAUAGAGAUGUCCUUGGGAUGUAUACAGAGCAGGAAACUAUAUUCCAUGAUCAUAUUGUUUGUUUUAUG
rnacentral:lncRNA from 1 species